UUUGAGGUGCUUUACUUCCAGAAUUUCCUCCUAAACGUAUGCUCCUCCUUCCACCCAUUCAAACAUGCAGUGCAUCAGAGGAUGAAGGUGGGGGUAGAAAGAACAAAGCUUAAGAGAUUUCCUGGCUUUCGUGUCUACACCCUGAGCUCCUGGAAGAUUUCACAAGAAAUGUGAAAGAGGGAGAUGGACAGAAAUUUUGUGGCAGAAGCCAAGGGUCCUGGGAGAAACAAGGGUGCAAGGAACUUCUCUGAUACUAGAGACAGAGAGGAGAUUUUCCUAGGCUGAUAGGGGAGUGAGAGCUGUCCAGGAGUCAAGGGAGGUCUCUCCAACUUAGAGCAGUGGAGAAGAUUGCUGGAUUCUCUGUAGCAAGCUAGGAGGUAGCUUGGCCCCAGAAAGAUGCAUCUGGGACAUGAGGUACCUCACAGAUUCUCUCACUCUGCUGUGGCCAUGGACAUAAAUCUAUCCCAAAGGCAGGGGCAGCGGCCUUCCGUGGAAGCCUGAGCAGGUGGAUAAGGAUGCCUGAGUUUCUCACCCCACACACCUCUUCCUGCUACUUUGUAGCUCAAGAGCUUGGAAACACGAUGAAUUCCCAUUGGUAACACUCUAAGACUUAAUGAGAUGUGUUUCCAGCUAAAUCAGUGAGAUGGGAUCUAAAGUCCAAAUUGAAUUGGAAGUUGCAGAUAGAGAGCUACCCUUACCUGAAGUACCCAAGAUUCCAUGUUUCUUAGGUCAAGAAGAGAGCACCUCUUUCUCACUUCUUUCACUGCCAGAUGGAGAGGAAUUAAUGCAAGGGACCUGACGUGAGUGGCCCCCCAGGGCUACAGCCUAAUGCACAGUGGGCUUCUUCCCAUAGAAAGUUAGGUGUGAUGGUAGCAGGAAGCUGGAAAGGUUUAGGGAACAAUACAGAGUUCGCCCAGUUGGUUUAAAUGAAGAGACUUUAGUGAAAGGACCAUUUAGAGGUAAGGAACAGCGUUAUGGAAGAAAAUCAGGUGUGGUUAAGCACCUGCAGCCAGCAGCGACAGGAGGUUAUGUUACUGUCCUUAAGGCCUCGUGAACAGAAAGUGAGAGAAGUUUACUGUAGCCUGGUGAGCUGUGAGCUGUGGAAAAGGUCAUCCAGUGGGAGCUGCAUGUGCAGAUGACACAGUCACCAUCAGGACAAGGUCAAGCAGACAACCUAAUUAGCAAGAAUAUAGAACGUGAACAACAGCAUUAGCAACCUUGACCUACCGUCCCUGACCUAGAUCCUGAAUUCCAGUUGACACCAAGCAGUUUGAAGACCCCUACAAAGGAAUGGGAUCAGCAUGAGAAUACAGUUUUUUUUCCUCUGUCCCAUAACCCUGCACUCUUAACCAAUCAACCGUCUCCACACUUUGGCUCCAUCUAAAACCCUUAAAAUCCUUAGCCCCAGACUCUUCAGGGAGACGGAUUUGAUGUUUCCUCCCAUCUCCUCAUUCGGCAGCCCUGUAAUUAAACCUCUUUCUCUGCUGCAGCCUGGUGUCUCAGCAUAUUGACUUCCCUUGUGCAUUGGGCAAUGGCCCUAUUCCACUUACAGAAGUUUUAGAUGAGAAGCCUUUUCAGAGCCACAGGCACUCCAUGCCAGUUGGUCUUGGCCCCAGGGGUUAGUGGAGCAUGUUCCUUGGAGAACAGCAGUUGGUUUCCAGCAUGGCUCUCCCAGCUGCCACUGUGAAGCAGAAUGUCGACUCUGAUUUUCAUUAGAUCAAAGUACACCUGAAUGUUUUCCACAUGGAAAAUGUGAUGUGCUGUGGAGAUGUGACAAUCAUCUUCCCUGCAGGGCAAGAUGAUCCUUCUAGAAGGGCAUCUGUUUGUGUAAGCGAAGCUGGGAUGUGCAAGUGGCCUUCUGCGGCCUGUCAUACGUUGGCCUCUGGUAACUUCUGUUUUAAAUACAAGUGAUUAAGGAGACUCUGUAGAAGUAGAACUAAUGCAAUGUUACACCAACUGAAAGUGUAUUUUUACUCUGUGUGAUUGAAUCAUUACAGGCUUUCCCCUGUAGUGAUUACAGCAGCGUCUUGAAAGCCAGACUCCCAGCAGCACUGCUGCAGGACCACGGACUCGUGAGAAACGUUUUCAGUGGUGUCUAUCUUUUGGCUUUGUUCUCUAGUUAGGAUUCAUCACUUUAUGUUCCAUUGUGAAAAUGAAGACAUAUAUCAGCUCUGAGAGUUAUUCACAAACUCCAAACAUGUUUGCCUACAAUGUUCCACUGCUUUGAGGCUAGAGAGAAGAAUGCUGUUGAAAUCCCUAAAUCCCAGCAUGUCUUGAGGGACACCAUAGAAAGAUGACUCCAUAUUCCAGACAACACCUCCGUCCGCGUCAGCCACUCAGGAUCAUCUGGGAUUCCAACUGUCAGAAACACUAAUUUCAGAGUGAAAAACCAUAAAGUAAAAGAAAAACCCAUACCCACAGGGUCACUAAUGACAAAGUGGCUGAGUGCCAACAGCGUAAACAACAUUUAACUUAGUUAAAUUAGGUAAAGUUUAGCUGAGUCUUAACUACUUAAGAUUAAUUACUGCAUAAGAAAAAUAAAAGUAUCCUAAAUUGUACAGCUCAGAUAUAAGGAAUUUGACAGACAUCUCCUAAAACUUGGCAACAAGAUUAAAAUGUAUAUGACAUUGCCAAUUAUCAGUUAUAAAGCUAAAAGAAACACUUAAAACCAAUUAAUAAGACAAAAACUUUUCAUCAACUGUGUCAAG
rnacentral:lncRNA from 10 species